rnacentral:lncRNA from 8 species
AUGUAUUAUAACAUGAUACUGUUCUGUGUCCUACCUUUAGGGGGUGCAGUGCAGGCCCAGCUCACUCAACCACAGAGUGUGGAGCCUCCAGCAGAGUUAGCGCCCAAGGUGUCCCCUCCGGUUUUAAGAGCGGCCACCAUCCCCAUUCAAAAGCAAGCCUCCACUCCAGUGGCAAAACCAUACUCUGCUCCGGUCUCUAGGCCAGCCCCUGCCCCAGUGCAAAAGAAAUCCUCUUCCCCUCCACCAAAGCCACCCCCUCCUGCGAUGGUAAAGAUGACCUCUGCUCAAGUACCAAAGCCUAUCCCUUCCCCAGUGCAAAAGCCUGCCCCAGCCCCAGUUCCAGCUGCUGCCCCUGUCUCAGCCCCAGUCCCAGCUGCUGCCCCUGUCUCAGCCCCAGUCCCAGCUGCUGCCCCUGUCUCAGUCCCUGCCCCUGUCUCACCCCCAGCCCCAGCCCCAGCUGCUGCCCCUGUCUCAGUCCCUGCCCCAGCUGCUGCCCCUGUCUCAGUCCCUGCCCCUGUCUCACCCCGAGUCCCAGCUGCUGCCCCUGUCUCCCACCCAACCCCUGCCCCCACUACACAGCAGCCCAAGCCCCAGCCUCAGAUGUCUCCAUCACCAGCCCCUCCCCCAGGGAAGCCAGCAGAGCUGCCCCCUCUGCCUCCCAAGCCCAAGCCUAUACCUCCUGUACGCCGCAACUCCAAGCCCCUGAUCCAGCCCAAACCCCAGACCCCCCUUCCACCCCUUGGCCUGAAGCCCAAUCCUGAUGCUGUGUCUUCAUCCAGAGCGCCAGGCCAGUCCCUGUCCCCAAAGAGGUCCCCUGGGAGGGUGCAGUCCCCUUUCUUGCCCCAGUCUCCAGCUAAAGCUCAGCCACCAACGGUCCUUUCCCCAGACUUUCACCCAGACCCCACCCCUAUUAUGAUGCCCAUGUCCUCCACUGGCACUGCCAUGGCUCCUGAGCCUGCUCCAGAGCCUACUCCAGUCUCAGUUUCAGCCUCAUUCCCAUCCGCAGCCUUAUCCCCAGUCUCAGCCUCAUCCCCAGCUCCAGACUCAGCCUCAUCCCCAGCCCCAGUCUCAGCCCCAGGCUCAGCUUCAUCCCCACUACCAGUCUCAGCCCCCGCCCCAGCCCCAGAAUCAGCUGAAGCUCAGCCUCCGGUUGAAGAACAGCCAGCACCCAAGGGCCAUCCACUGCUGAAUAAGUCCCAGUCCCUGACCAAUGCCUUCAGCGCGUUGGGAGAUGCGUCGUUCUUCCGCUCCAGCUCGACCAGCUCCUCGGCGGGCGGAGAGGAUGAAGCCAAGGCCGAGACCAUCCGGAACAUCCGCAAGUCCUUCGCCAGCCUCUUCUCUGAUUAGUCCUCUCCCACAUGCUCUAGGAUUGGCUGAUGACUUCAUUGACAUAAACGUGACCCAGUCUGAGAUUAACUGUGUGUAACUGUAUAACUCCCAAGUCCCGCCUCCAUCCCCUGCCUCUCUGUGUCUCUGAGGACUCAAUUGGCCAGUUGAGUGUGAUGAUGUCAAAGUGCCAGCUACCUGUAACUACCUGUAGCUAGCUACCUGCGUGAAGCUUGGCCCUCGGUCAGUGUGUGAGGAGGAGGAGAUAUAUAUGACGUUCUAAUGCAUGAAGAUGACGGCUCCAUCAGUAGGUGUUGUGGAGCAGAAUGGAUGUUUGUGUUGAGUUGAUGUUACCCAUUGCCUCUGGAUGUUGUAGCCUUAAUGUGAUGAUGUGUUUUAUUACAGAUUAGUGACUGUGAGUGGUGACCCCUGACUCCUAUAUCGCCAUAUGUACUUCCUGUGUAGUACAGAUAUCUGCAGUACGUUCUUCAUCAUUAACAGUUAUUUAAUAAUAAUACCUCUGUUGUGGCUGUUGACCACUGUCACUCAUACAUACAAGUAUACCUUUCCUUUAUUAAUCAGUCAGUCCCCUCCUUUAAGGUGUCAGUACACUCCUUUAAUCUGUCAGACCCCUCCUUUAAUCUGUCAGACCCCUCCUUUAAUCAGUCAGACCUCUCCUUUAAUCAGUCAGACCUCUCCUUUAAUCAGUCAGACCCCUCCUUUAAUCUGUCAGUCCCCUCCUUUAAUCAGUCAGACCUCUCCUUUAAUCAGUCAGACCUCUCCUUUAAUCAAUCAGACCCCUCCUUUAAUCAGUCAGUCCCCUCCUUUAAUCAGUCAGACCUCUCCUUUAAUCAGUCAGAACUCUCCUUUAACUCAGUCAGAUCUCUAUUUAAUCAGUCAGAACUCUCCUUUAAUCAAUCAGACCUCUCCUUUAACUCAGUCAGAUCUCUAUUUAAUCAGUCAGACCGCUCCUUAAACUCAGUCAGAUCUCUAUUUAAUCAGUCAGACCGCUCCUUUAACUCAGUCAGAUCUCUAUUUAAUCAGUCAGACCGCUCCUUAAACUCGGUUAGACCUCUCCUUUAAGGUGUCAGACCUUCAUUUAAGCUAUCCGACCACUCUCUAAGUGGUCAAGCCAACACCAGAACCGGUCAGUUUCAAUAACGUUUCAGAUCAUCUGUCCUGUAAGCACCUUGGUGUACAGCAGUUCUACCAACCUGUCAGCUUAUAUCAACUUAAAGCCAUCUAACAUGUUAUAUUGUUAAUGCUUUGUAAAUGUUGUAUUGUACCGUUACUGUAUGUGAGUCAUCCAGAAGUUUAUUUUGUGAUAAUGAAUCAUUGAUAAUGUAUUGUAGGUUCCUGUACUGUUUUAUUUGUCCGUAUGCAGUACUGCCUUGCAUGACCAAUAUGACCCAGUGACCCUUGGUACCAUAGUAAUGUUACCUGUACAUAAAUGUCAAUAAAUAAAGAUGUGGUAAAUCGUUCCACUAAUGUAUCUGUAUUACUGACUCCUCCAUUUACAAUGACUAACUUGUUUUGUUAUAAAUGGAUAAAUGCAGCUGUUCUUUCUGUCCAGAAGGUGGUGGAAGGGACCAUUAAUGUGAUAUAUUGUGGUAGAUAUCUCUAUGACUGAUAUAUUGUGGUAGAUAUCUCUAUGACUGAUAUAUUGUGGUAGAUAUCUCUAUGACUGAUAUAUUGUGGUAGAUAUCUCUAUGACUGAUAUAUUGUGGUAGAUAUCUCUAUACUGAUAUAUUGUGAUAGAUAUCUCUAUGACUGAUAUAUUGUGGUAGAUAUCUCUAUGACAGAUAUAUUGUGGUAGAUAUCUCUAUGACUGAUAUAUUGUGGUAGAUAUCUCUAUGACAGAUAUAUUGUGGUAGAUAUCUCUAUGACUGAUAUAUUGUGGUAGAUAUCUCUAUGACAGAUAUAUUGUGGUAGAUAUCUCUAUGACAGAUAUAUUGUGGUAGAUAUCUCUAUGACUGAUAUAUUGUGGUAGAUAUCUCUAUGACUGAUAUAUUGUGGUAGAUAUCUCUUUCGGAUGGGACGUUAAACAGGUGUCCUGACUCUGUGGUCACCAAAGAUGCCAUGGUACUUAUUGUAAGAGUUGGGUUAUUAACUCCGGUGUCCUGACUACAUUCCCAAUCUGGACUUCAUACCAUCCUGGCCACCUAAUCAUCCCCAGCUUACAAUUGGCUCAUUCAUCUCCCCUCCUCUCCCCUGUAACUAUUCCCCAGGUCGUUGCUAUAAAUGAGAAUGUGUUCUCAGUCAAUUUACCUGGUAAAAUAAGGGUUAAAUAAAUAAAUUAAUUGAUCCUCAACACUGGGGCCCCAGAAGGGUGUGUGCUCAGCCCCCUCCUGUCUCCCUGUUCACCCAGGACUGCAUGGCCAAGCAUGCCACCAACUUAAUCCUCAAGCUUGCAAACGGCACAACAGUAGUAGGCUUGAUUACCAACGAUGUCGAGACAGACUACUGGGAGGAGGUGAGGGCUCUGGGAGUGUGGUGUCAGGAAAACAACCUCUCACUCAAGAGGGGUGCACCCUCUGCUGUUUCCUAAAGUCCACGAUCAUCUCCUUUGUUUUGUUGAUGUUGAGUGAGAGAUUGUUUUCCUGGCACCACACUCCCAGAGCCCUCACCUCCUCCCUGUAGGCUGUCUCAUCAUCGGUGGUAAUCAAGCCU